CCCUUAGAUAUCCUAGGCUGCACGCGAGCUACAAUGGUAUAUAUAAAAGGUUGCUGCUCUGAGAAGACUGGCAAUACCCUGAUAUAUAUCGUAUUUGGAAUAGAUUUUUGUAAUUAUCAAUCUUGAACGAGGAAUUCCUAGUAAAAAUAUUUCAUCAUAAUGUUUUGAUUGUGUCCCUGCCCUUUGUACACACCGCCCGUCGCUCCUACCGAUUGAAUAUUCCGGUGAGAAGAUAGGAGAAAAAUCUUUUGAUUUUUUGAAUAUUUUUGAACCUUGAUAUUUAGAGGAAGGAGAANUUGUANCA
rnacentral:rRNA from 1 species